UUCUGAGCAGAAUAUUUGGAACGUAGUAGAAUAAUCAGUGUGCAAAAAUACUACGAGUAUUGUGUAAAUAAAUAUUUCGCUAAAAAUAAAUUAGAGUGCGAUACUCUGCUUAUGAGUAAAAUAUUCAGAUCGUUGUAGAAAAUAAUCAGUGUGCAAAAAAUAAAAUACUACGAGUAUUGUGCAAAGAAAUGUUUUGCUAAAAACAAAUUAGUACUUACUAAAGCCUUAAACUGUGCACACGGCUGAAUAUGAAAUUUAAAGAAACUAUACAAAAUUGUAAAAAAAUAUUAUACAGUAGUAAAACUUGCAGUAGUUUGCACACCGUACUACAGUAGUAAAAACAGUUUAAAAACGAGUAUAUAACAUUUGUCACAAUGAACAACUCGACAAAAAUAAAAUCAACUCGUUGGAAGUUUAAUAUAACUUGAAGUGAUAUUAAAAAAUAAUAGUUUAAUUUUCUAAUAGAAAUUAUUAAAAACGCAAAUAUGGUCUGCAAAAAUUGUUGUGCUAAUUGUAAAUGUACCGCCGACAAAUGUGGUGAUAAGUGUGCCUGCGAUCAACACUGCAAGUGUCCUUGCAAGUCAGGCUCAAAGGAUGAGUGCUGCAAAAAAUGAAAAUCUGUUAUGACUUAAUAUAUUUAAAGCAAAAUAAAUACUUAAUUCCAAUAAAAUGUAUACAAAAUUACCAACAACACAAAAUUAA